UCACUUUGGGAAGUGCUAUCGAGGUUAGAGUGUUGGAAAUGUGCCCUAAAACCAAUCAUAUGAUCAUACUUUACGAACAUUUCACAUGUUAAACUAAUCUAGUUUAAUAUCAAGGGCAAAGAUUAUUGUUUGAGCCGUCUCAUAUAAAUGUUAUAUGCUUAAACGAUAAGUCCAAGGAAUAUGUAAUUAGGAGAAUGUAAUUUAAACAAGUUAGAUUUAUGAGACCAUUCUCUUUCGUAUACAUAUCCUAAAGGUUCCUGAUCAUAGGAUUGCCAAUUGGGCAUUGACAGUCCGAUAAGAUCAGUACGUGUUGUGUCUUCUCUCAUGGAGAGUGACUGGUCUCGAGUCAUUGAUGUGAUUGACACCAAGACAAGCAUGUAGGUGCUCAAUAGCGAAUGAGUCCACUGAACACGAUCAACGAAGAGUUCUCAUACUCAUGUCACAUGAGACUCAUGGUUGGGAUAAUGCAAAGUAGUCCUUUGACCUGAGGCAUCAUAGUUGUCUUGUGGUUAGGUCCUUGAUCUUUGAUUAUGUCAAAGUCACCCCAUCCGCAGGUGUCCACGGCAUCGUCGGGGUUAAGCCACUUAGCCAUGGAGGCAAGUGAAUGCGCAACAAGGGAUCUCUAACCUUCAAACCGUUUGGGGGAGAAUACUCUAUGAUAUGAUUAAGAAUCUCUGGCCAGAGUAUGGAUGAGAUUUAGGAAGUCGUUCCAAAUCACAUUCAAGGUAAUCAUAUAAGCACACGAAUCACAUUGGAUAGUAGACAUGAAUAAACUAUCAAACCAAACAAUGUUGUCAAGAGUAUUGUAUUAGAGAAAGACCGUAUUGCAUUUGUAAUCCUAAACUGAAUAGAUUCUCCACCUCUUCUGAUUAGCUUGGGUAACCAUGAUAUACUGCUAGGUGUCACUCAUGGUUUGUGGAAGCCCUAAACGUGUAUAAUCACUAAAGGGAGAAUUGAAAGUAAGUUUCAAUUCACAAUCGAUUUGAAAUGGUUUUAAUCGCCCACUGCCUCGCUAAAUGGAACCUAAUGGAUCGUACACCGUGUAAGGUGGAGAUUGAAGAAACAAUGGAGAUGAGUGAGAAUAAUUAAAUGGUUUAAUUAUUUAUGGCAAGGAUUAAUUAAUAUAUUAAUUAAUCAAACGAAUAAGUUCGUUAAAGACCUCGGGAUAGUUUUGGGCCUCAAGGCCCAAUGGGCUUCGAAUUUCAAGCCCAUUGACUUAAGUUGUAUGACAACUUAAUGACAAAUAAUUCACAAUGGCCUUAAAAGCCCAAUGAAACCCUAUGGCCGGCCAUUUUGUUAAAGGAGUGGGGUUUUGGACUUAAUUACAAGUUUGCCACUCCAAUGAAUAAAGGUAUAAAUAUGACUUUAUAGCCAAAAUUCAUUUAGGGUUUUCUUUUGGGGAAAGGAUGAGAACAUAAGCUCUCAUUCUCUCUAAAGUGGCCGGCCUCCUUGUAGGGUUUAGCUAGCAAUCCUACUACUCCGAGGUCAGUCAUUUCUUCUCCAAUCUAACCUUGGUGAAGAGACUUAGAGGUUCUCAAUUUUGGGAACUUAGAGAACCAUUUCAUCCAUCCAAAUCCAUAGAUCUAAGAUGCAAGGAAUGAAGGCCCUCUCUUUGGGUGAUUAGCCUUUGCUUAUGCAAAGAGGAAUCUACAAAGGUAUAAUUUCUCAUCUAACAAAUGUUGUUUUAAGUUGAGUCAAGGUUCACCAAUCUACUAGGCUUUGAAUUUCAUGGUUAAUGUUUUGUUUUUAAGUGCAUACAAGCAUGAUUCCGCCUUUAAUUUGUUAAUUGCAUGCUAUAGAUGUUGCUUAAAUGAACAUGUUUUUCACAAAAUUUCCUUCAAGUGGUAUCAGAGCCUAGGUCUAGUAGUUAGUGAAUCCUUUUGGGUUUUGUAGUUCAUAGUCUUUGAUUUAAAUGUUGUAAUAUGUUACAAGCUUUAUUCUUGCUUCUUUGAAUGUAAAUUUUGUUAGAAAAUUUGCCAUCUCAAAUGUUGUAGAUGUAGUUCAUAUGAGCAUGAAUAUUGGAGCUAAAAUUUGGUGCCAUGUUUUUGGGGAUUUUCGGCCAAAUCCAAAGGGUGGAUUUUUGGGUUCAUGUUUGACUUGUUAAAAGUGUUUUCAAGUAACUUUUGGAACCCCUAUGUACCCUAGUUUGGUUAUAUGUUAUUUCCCUUAAGUUUGAAUGGUUUUGGGAUGUUUUUUGGUGAAAAAUGUUCAUGGAAAUUUUUGAGUUUUUUCAUGAGUGUUCUUCAUUGUUCCUGACAUUUUUGCCAAGAACAAAAAGUUUGGUGUUUUGAUUUAUUUCAUAAAGUUUUUGUUUUAUGUUUUUCUUAUGUUUAAAUGUAUUAGAUAUUUAUUUAGAAAGGUGUAAGAAAUAUUGGUGGGUGUGUAAGGAUUAAUUCCCUUUCACACACACCACUUGCAUGACAUUUAUGUCAUGCACCACUUGCAUGACUUUAUGUCUAAAACUACAAAUCAACACACACAUCACUCCCUUCUCUCCAAAAACCGGCCACCCUACAAGUGGGGUGUUUUUGGGGCUUUUAUGCAAUUACAUAAAGUUUUGGUACUUUUGUGUAUUUGCACUUUGGCCCAAAAGUUUACGUUUUUACGUUUAGGUCCAAAAACGCUAAAGGACAAAUUGUUUUGCUCCUUUAAUGAAGUUUUUGCAUUUGUUGAAAUUUUUGGGUUCUAGUUGUAAUUACAUGAAGUAGUGGACUUUUGUGUUUUUACAAAGUGACCCCAAAAGUUUAUGCUUUUGCAAUAUAGCCCAAAAGUUGAGGUUAUUGCAUUUUGGCCCAAAUUAAGUGAGAACAAAAUUGUUUUGUCUCUUUAAAUGAGAAUUGGAUUUUCAUUUCAUUUAGCUCCAUUUAAAUCAAUUUUAUGGAUACAAAAACCAAAUGAAAAUGUUGCAUUCCAUUUAAUUAGUUAAAGUGUUAAUUAAUUAAAGGGUGAUUAUGAACCUAAGCCUACGAUAAUUGAGCUAUGUGAAAGGCCGUUUCAAAUUUGUUUGAACCAUGGGAAUGUGUAGAUUAGAUUUUGGUUGUAAUUUGAUUUGAUCAAAUGUUGUAAAAGAGCAUAAGCUCUUCUUUACUUUAAAGUAAUUUGUAUUAUUCAAAUGUUGUAAAGAGCAUAAGCUCAUCUUUACUUUGAAGUACUCCUUUCUUGUAUUAUUUGAUAUGCAUGAAAAUGGAGUAGAGGGUCCAACGCCCCUAAGACAACACGCCUUAAUGUGAUUAAACGCGUAACUAAAAUCAAUUAUCAUCCCUAGACCGAGAUUCAACACUAGGCUCGUGUUGAAUCUAAUCAAAGGUUCAUAGUCAUCCUAAGGCCCUAAGGCAACUAUAUAGUCCAUCAAAUGAAUGCAAAGUUUAUGUUAGUAGUAUCAUAUACUCUUGCUUUAAAAACCGUUUUAUAAGCAUAGUGGGAGUAUUAUAUACAACUAAAAACAAUCAAAUGGACCAAUAGUUGUAAUAGGACCAAAUUGUUUUAAUAAGAUUAAAAAGUAUGUUUAUAUGUGAUGAGACCUAAAACCCUCAACCAAACCAUUAUUAAGUUGAUAAGCGAGAGAUGCUUUGAACAUCUCUUCGUAGGCCUUCCACCAUGGUGGGCUUCAAUCGUUUGUGACUCAUACACCGUAUUCGUCUAGUUCUGGGGUAUGCAAAGUAUGUGCUUACAUUCAGGAGAAGCCUAUAAACAUAUGAUGAAGUGAAGGUAGGCAACGAGUAUGGUCAAUAUGAUAUUCUUCUGAGGCCAUUCCCCUACUUGAACUAGCAUGGUGGGAAUGACUUAACUAAGUGCAAUGAUGCCAAUUUGAUAUUCUUCUGAGGCAUCAUUUUCUAGAGGCCAAAUUAGAUGGGUAAUUACAAAAGUUGUAAAUGGCUAAAGUCCUCUCAUCAUUAUUGUUGCUAGCCAAUAUGAUAUUCUCCUGAGGUGGGCUUGGUAAUAGUGAGUCUCCCAUACCCUACUAAGAGUUUCAUCCAAAACUCUCGAAUUCCAAUGAGGGAUAUGGAAUUUGCCAAAAAUAGUGGGUGGUGCUAUUUGAUUUAAAGACACGGAUCAAAUGGCUUAAAAAUCAAUCAAUUUAUAUUCGUUAUGUAUUUGUUUACCAAUAUAUUUGCAAACGUUAUCCAAAACUUGACAAAGAAAAGCCGAAUGCUUUAGUUUCCGGACUUGGUACCACAAUCCCAAAGAUUGUUUUAAAUGGAUUGUAUAUGUACCUAAGUAGUCUCAUCCACACAAUCUUCCUAUUGAUAAUGUAUCAUUACAAGAAUAUGUUAGAAAAGGUCUAUCAUAAAGAGGACAACACUUUUAAUGUCAUAAUUCUUCAAUUACAAUUUGUUGUAUGAAGAAAUAAGACUUGCUUUGAACAACUCUUAGUUAAAUGCAAACAUUAGUGCUUGUUUCUUUGUUACAUGAACAAGGAACUUUAGAAGUAAGCACAAGGGCAUGGACACUUUAUGUGCCAUGAUUCUUCACUUACAAAUUGUUGUAUGAAGAAAUGAGAGUUGCCUUGAACAACUCUUGAAAGUUUGUAAUUAUGUUUAGAACAUAAUGGUUGUUUGACAAAAAUAGUCCAUCAACAUGGACUUAUGAUGAUUUUGAAUCAUUGAGUGUUGAAGUGAUAAACCACUUAACGAGACGAACUAUAUAGUGAACUAUAACCACACACUCUCCAAAUCGUUUGAUGUGUAUAACAUAAUUGAAACAGGUUUCAAGAGAGAUAGUGGGAGUUUAGGGACCAUGACUAUUGUAGUCAAAAGGAGAAGUCAAAUGAAGAAAGCGAAAUAAACUCCAAGGGAACAAACUUUCUUUAUGAAAUUAUGGACAUUGGAAGGGGUAUUUGCAAGAAAUGUCUUGCAAGUGUCAAGAACACACCUUUCGAAGGUGUUGUAAAUUGUUCUUGAAUAGUUCAAAACAGUUGGUUCUUCUACUUGAAUGCUUGAUUCCGUAUUAGUACCUAUGUUUUACAAUCGUUGUAAAAGUGUGACUAAUAAGAAGUAGAAGAUAUAUGAGAGAAGAAAAAGGUGCUUCACAUUUGGAACGUGAAUAAAAUAAAGAUCUCUGCGAAAGCAGAUAGUACUUACUUCCUCAUAUGAACUACCAAAGAAAUUGGAAAAACCAAAUAUUGUCUUUACAUUCCAAUUUUAAGGAACUUAAUUCCGUCACUAUAAGGGAUGGAUGAAUGUUUUGUUUGACAAAACAUUAUUCUUUAUUAGUCAAUGAUUGGAUUAUAGUAAUCUAAUUGAUUGUCUCUAUAGUAGAGAUGAUAUGGUAGUGUUAACAGUUUAGAAUAUAAUGAUGCUUAAAACCCAAAAAGGUUGCAAGGUAGUGACUAAUCCCAACUAAAGUUGUGAUACCUCUAAAACAUAAAUUACAAGUUGGUCAUAGAUGGAUGCUUUAGAUCGUUAGAUCCGGAUCCAAUAACUUCUUAUUAAAAUUGUAUGGAGGCGAAAUGUUCGAAUCUUUAUUCUUUUGGAAAGAAGAAAGAAUCACAAAGUUGUUGAGGUUAAUUCACUUAGAUGUUAGUGGCACUUGUCCACAACAUAAUACUACUCAUGUUGUAUGACAUUCACCGAAGAUCACUCUCGGUUGGACUAUAGUUUAUUUUGAAUAAACACAAGUCCGAAUACUUUGCAAAAGGUUUCAAAGAAUUCAAGAAAUGUAAGUUGAUGAGUAAGACGUCUAAAGUAUUUGCCUCCUUAGAUUUGAUCCAAGGAAAGAUAACACUUUAGAACAGUUUUCCUUGAAAAAUAUCAAGGAAAGAAGCAUCAAAAGAUAAUGGAUUUCUCCAUUAGGAGAAGAACGAACUUGAAUAAGAUUUAGUUCGUUGGAUGUUAUCAAUUACCCAUAUAUAGGAUAUAUGCUUCUAAGACAAUAUGAUUGGCAAUUAGAAGAUCUUCCAAAAUUUUCAUGACUCCAUAAGAUGUAGUUGGAAAGAAAGACAAAUCUUAAUCAUGUUAAGAUUUGGGGUUGUGUGCUAAUAAGCAAUAUUUGUUGAGAAUUAUCUUGUGGAUAUCCUUAAAUUAACAUUUGGAUAUCACUUCUAUAAACCAACUAACAAAUGUUGUUUGAUUGGGUAGUUCAUUGUAAUCCUACACUAGGAUUUGCCCAAGAUAGAGCAAAUGAACGAGGGAUAGAACUCAAAGAAUGGUUCUUUAAGAAACAAGAUAGUGAUCAACAAAUAUAACAACCUAGUUCCUAUACCACAAGCUCCAAGGUAGUCGAGAAGGAUUUAUAAACCGUCUCAGUUCAAUUGUUUGAAUUUUAUGACUAUGUCAUAAAGUUACACCUCUUAAUUCGAAAGAAAUAAGAAUUAAAAUCCUUAUGACUACAUUGAGUGUAUAUACGAUAUAUACUCAAGGAAAUGGUAAAGUACCAUUUGACCCGAAAUAAUGAAACCUUAAAUAGCUAAUUGGUAGCUUAAGGUGACUACAAUCAAAUAGAAUGGUUGACUUUGAAGAAACCAUCUUUGAUGUAGUCUUGUUUUCAAUUAAUUCGAAGAUUGCUAGCUACAACUAAAUGGUGAUUCAAUGUUUGGACAUAAUAUAGGUUUCCGAAACCAUUAUUAAGAUGGUCUUGAUAAUAUAUGUCUAAAACUAUGAAUCACAAGACAUGUAAGUUGUAGAGAUCCAACCAUCAUGGAUCUUAGCAAGCUAGUGGGAGCUGUAAACGUCUUAUGAGAGAAAGAUCAAAACGUUUGAUUUCUCAUAAAGAUGUAAAUGAAUCUUUUGUUUACUAGGUUUACAAAAGAUUAGUGGGAGUUAAUCAUGUUCCUAAAUUUGAAUAUAUAUAUAUAUAUAUAUAUAUAUACGAAUAUAUAUAUAUAUAUAUAUAUAUACGAAUAUAUAUAUAUAUAUAUACAAAUAUAUGAUAUAUUGAUUUUGGAAAUGAAAAGAAUACUUCUUCGUUAAAGUUAUGACUUUAAAACAUUAUAUGAAGAUAGAAUGUAUAUGGGAGACAUAAUCUAUAUACAUGGGAUGGAAAUCUAUAUUGAUAGAUUUUAGGAUAUAAUUGGAUUAUAUCAAGCCCUAAUAAUAGACAAGAGAUGCUAGGAAGUUUCUCAUAUGAUGAUAAACUUCAAUUAGAAGGACGACUCUAGUGAGACUAGCAAGUUGCCCUUCUCAAAGGGAACGUACCCUUUGACUCCCAAAGAAAUAAUGCGUAAAUAGAAUCCUUUAUGCAUACGCAGAGAGGUGAUUUAUGUAUUUCAUAUUGUAUGAAAAACAUUGAUAUGAGUUGUACCUAGAAAGGUACAAGACGAUAUCAGUGCAAGCCUAGGAUUAGAACCACGGCAACUGUUAAGUGAGUCCUUAAGUAUUUAAGAAAUACUAAAGGAUAGAUUCCUCAAAGAAUGAGGAAGAAUUAGAGUAACGUAAUGGAAGCGUAAAUGUAUUAGACUAUGAAUCUAAUCCAUCAUUGGAUAUUUCUUCAUUAUGAAUGAAGAGAUAAACAGAUAUCUCUUUAUUAUGAUUAAAGAGAUAUUUGGAUGGAAACAUUAAAAGUAAUGACUUUAGUGUGUUCCAUUAUGAAUGCAAAUAUAUUGCCAUAUAGAAGCUUACAACAAUGUUGUUUGGAUGGGAAAGUUCAUUUAUGAACUCUCUAUUCGGUUCCAACCAGAAAAUGUCUCUAGUGUACUGACACUACGACACUAAUGGGGCGAUAGCUCAAGCCUUGGAAUCAAGGUCUCAUCAAGAUCCGAACUCAAAUGAGAGACUGAACCACAUGAUUAAGAAUCAUGUAUAAUGGUGACGUCGUUAUUCUCAAGGUUGCUUCUAUGGAUAACAUAUAGACAUCCAUUGUCUAGGCCAUUUAUGAAAUGACUACAGAAGAGGUAUCAUAACUGAUGACCAAGCUGAUUGGCUCUAGUGCAAGUGGGAGAUUGUUGGAAAUGUGCCCUAAAACCAAUCAUAUGAUGAUACUUUACGAACAUUUCACAUGUUAAACUAAUCUAGUUUAAUAUCAAGGGCAAAGAUUAUUGUUUGAGCCGUCUCAUAUAAAUGUUAUAUGCUUAAACGAUAAGUCCAAGGAAUAUGUAAUUAGGAGAAUGUAAUUUAAACAAGUUAGAUUUAUGAGAUCGUUCUCUUUCGUAUACAUAUCCUAAAGGUUCCUGAUCAUAGGAUUGCCAAUUGGGCAUUGACAGUCCGUUAAGAUCAGUACAUGUUGUGUCUUCUCUCAUGGAGAGUGACUGGUCUCGAGUCAUUGGUGUGAUUGACACCAAGACAAGCAUGUAGGUGCUAAAUAGCGAAUGAGUCCACUGAACACGAUCAACGAAGAGUUCUCAUACUCAUGUCAUAUGAGAACUCAUGGUUGGGAUAAUGCAAAGUAGUCCUUUGACCUGAGGCAUCAUAGUUGUCUUGUGGUUAGGUCCUUGAUCUUUGAUUAUGUCAAAGUCACCCCAUCCGCGGGUGUCCACGGCAUUGUCGGGGUUAAGCCACUUAGCCAUGGAGGCAAGUGAAUGCGCAACAAGGGAUCUCUAACCUUCAAACCGUUUGGGGGAGAAUACUCUAUGAUAUGAUUAAGAAUCUCUGGCCAAAAUAUGAAUGAGAUUUAGGAAGUCGUUCCAAAUCACAUUCAAGGUAAUCAUAUAAGUACACGAAUCACAUUGGAUAGUAGACAUGAAUAAACUAUCAAACCAAACAAUGUGGUCAAAAGUAUUGUAUUAGAGAAAGACCGUAUUGCAUUUGUAAUCCUAAACUGAAUAGGUUUUCCACCUCUUCUGAUUAGCUUGGGUAACCAUGAUAUACUGCUAGGUGUCACUCAUGGUUUGUGGAAGCCCUAAACGUGUAUAAUCACUAAAGGGAGAAUUGAAAGUAAGUUUCAAUUCACAAUCGAUUUGAAAUGGUUUUAAUUGCCCACUGCCUCGCUAAAAGGAACCUAAUGGAUCGUACACCGUGUAUGGUGGAGAUUGAAGAAACAAUAUGAGUAAGAAUAAUUAAAUGGUUUAAUUAUUUAUGGCAAGGAUUAAUUAAUAUGUUAAUUAAUCAAACGAAUAAGUUCGUUAAAGACCUCGGGAUAGUUUUGGGCCUCAAGGCCCAAUGGGCUUCGAACGUCAAGCCCAUUGACUUAGGUUGUAUGACAACUUAAUGACAA
rnacentral:lncRNA from 1 species